rnacentral:tRNA from 1 species
UCCUCAAUAGCACAGUGGUAGAGUAGUCGGUUGUUAACUGACUGGUUGUAGGUUCAAAACUUCAAAACAUGGGGAA